rnacentral:rRNA from 1 species
AUUGAACGCUGGCGGCAUGCCUUACACAUGCAAGUCGAACGGCAGCACGGGGCAACCUGGUGGCGAGUGGCGAACGGGUGAGUAAUGUAUCGGAACGUGCCAUUGAGUGGGGGAUAACGUAGCGAAAGUUACGCUAAUACCGCAUAUACCCUGAGGGGGAAAGCAGGGGAUCGCAAGACCUUGUGCUCUUUGAGCGGCCGAUAUCAGAUUAGCUAGUUGGUGAGGUAAAGGCUCACCAAGGCGACGAUCUGUAGCGGGUCUGAGAGGAUGAUCCGCCACACUGGGGCAGAGCCACGGCCCAGACUCCUACGGGAGGCAGCAGUGGGGAAUUUUGGACAAUGGGCGCAAGCCUGAUCCAGCCAUGCCGCGUGAGUGAAGAAGGCCUUCGGGUUGUAAAGCUCUUUCGGCCGGGAAGAAAUCGUACAGGUUAAUACCCUGUGUGGAUGACGGUACCGGAAUAAGAAGCACCGGCUAACUACGUGCCAGCAGCCGCCGUAACAC